rnacentral:rRNA from 1 species
UACGUAGGGUGCAAGCGUUGUCCGGAAUUAUUGGGCGUAAAGAGCUCGUAGGCGGUCUGUCGCGUCUGCUGUGAAACCUCGGGGCUUAACCCCGGGCCUGCAGUGGGUACGGGCAGACUAGAGUGCGGUAGGGGAGACUGGAAUUCCUGGUGUAGCGGUGAAAUGCGCAGAUAUCUGGAGGAACACCGGUGGCGAAGGCGGCAUCCUGGACCGACACUGACGCUGAGGAGCGAAAGCCAGGGGAGCAAACGGG